rnacentral:rRNA from 1 species
AGGACGAACGCUGGCGGCGUGCUUAACACAUGCAAGUCGAGCGGUAAGGCCCUUUCGGGGUACACGAGCGGCGAACGGGUGAGUAACACGUGAGCAAUCUGCCCUUCACUUCGGGAUAAGCCUCGGAAACGGGGUCUAAUACCGGAUAUGACCGCGCUACGCAUGUGGUGUGGUGGAAAGUUCUGGCGGUGGGGAGUGAGCGUCGCGGCCGUAC